UACGGAGGGGGCUAGCGUUGCUCGGAAUUACUGGGCGUAAAGCGCACGUAGGCGGCUCUUUAAGUCGGGGGUGAAAUCCUGGAGCUCAACUCCAGAACUGCCUUCGAUACUGAAGAGCUCGAGUCCGGGAGAGGUGAGUGGAACUGCGAGUGUAGAGGUGAAAUUCGUAGAUAUUCGCAAGAACACCAGUGGCGAAGGCGGCUCACUGGCCCGGUACUGACGCUGAGGUGCGAAAGCGUGGGGAGCAAACAGG
rnacentral:rRNA from 1 species